rnacentral:rRNA from 1 species
CUACGGGUUGCAGCAGUGGGGAAUAUUGCACAAUGGGCGCAAGUCUGAUGCAGCCAUGCCGCGUGUAUGAAGAAGGCCUUCGGGUUGUAAAGUACUUUCAGCGGGGAGGAAGGGAGUAAAGUUAAUACCUUUGCUCAUUGACGUUACCCGCAGAAGAAGCACCGGCUAACUCCGUGCCAGCAGCCGCGGUAAUACGGAGGGUGCAAGCGUUAAUCGGAAUUACUGGGCGUAAAGCGCACGCAGGCGGUUUGUUAAGUCAGAUUUGAAAUCCCCGGGCUCAACCUGGGAACUGCAUCUGAUACUGGCAAGCUUGAGUCUCGUAGAGGGGGGUAGAAUUCCAGGUGUAGCGGUGAAAUGCGUAGAGAUCUGGAGGAAUACCGGUGGCGAAGGCGGCCCCCUGGACGAAGACUGACGCUCAGGUGCGAAAGCGUGGGGAGCAAACAGGAUUAGAUACCCGGGUAGUC